AAGAAAUCAUAAACUGGUCCCAAAUCCCUAUUCAUUGUUUGUCGGGCCUUGAGCGCCAAAGAGGAGUGGCAAACGAAAUAGAGUACCAAAAUAUUGAAAGCUUAAAAAACUUUUUUUUCCUGAAAACACAGGUGCCAAACGAAAUAUAAUAAAACCAAAACAUUGUAGAAAAUUAUAAUCACUUCUUUGUUUCACUGAAACACCAACAUGUCUUCGCAUCUCAAAGCCCUAAUCUCCAGUAUACCCAGGUAUGCUCAAGUGCUUUGGCCAUUUUCCUUGCUACUUUUGGUGCUUUCUCUUGGGGCGUGUACCAAGUCAGCAUCAGAAAUAAGAAGCGUGGACGGGAGAUAAAUUUUUUAGAUCUUGGUCUAUUUGUAUAGUGAUGUGCAACGUGAAUUUUGAGCUACGCUACGGGGGAUUUAGGUAGUGUUAGCAGCAUUUAUCUUAGCAUGAAGAUUUGAAGAUGUACAUGACACAAAUUAUUCUUCGUAUUUAAUCCAAGUUAGCACUCUUUUGUUUUGAGCUUGGGCCGUGGCUCAGCAUGGCCACUUGUAGACUACUAUUUGAAGAUUGAUAGAAAAGUGAAUUUUAUGAUAGCAAAAUCUGGUAAACGGUUUAGUGAUAUAAAAGUGUUCUAUAAAAAAUGUAAUUGAUCCAAUCUUUCAGGAUCCUUACAUGUUUGAAUAAUGGAAAAUUCAAUCAGCAUUCUCCCAAUAUCCUAAUUUAGGAGUCUUAAUUUUUUUGCCCAUAACUAUUAUUGUGAGAGUUAUUUUCUUUCGGCAAUUACUGUACUUGAAAGGUGGCAGUUCUUCAAAUGCUGAAUUAUCGUCCGAGCUACGUUCGUGUCGAGAGGAAAAUAAAUCUUUGAAGGAUAGCUUGUUACCUUAGAAGAUGAUAUGGAAUAAUUUAAGCAAUCCAAAGCAUUUGUAUUAGCUAAUACUCUGAUGUCUAGCCUUUGAUACCGCCUGAACAUAUCGACUCUUUUAUGUUGCUAUAAUAUUUUUCAAGUACAUGAUAACACCUGCUGAUUUACGCUUCUUAUGGGGAUUUGAAGAUUGAAGUUGCAAGUUAAGAUGUAUUGAAGACAUGCAAGCUGACUUUUGAAGACAGAAUAUUGUGACUUACCACUAGAUGUUAAACAUUGUUUUUUGUGAUUAAUUACAAUAUAUAUAUAUAUAUAUAUAUAUAUAUAUAUAUUAGAGCAUGAGUUUUCUUUAUAUUCGUCUUUAUAUUAAAUAAUAAAAAUUAGA